rnacentral:lncRNA from 1 species
GCAGACUCCAAAUGCAAAAAAAAAAAAACACAAAACAAAAGGGAGGGUAAUAAUUGGCUAUGGCGGCUCAAAUGCAGUCCACAUAACCUCCAGCAUAGGAGGCGGCUCCGGUUCUGGGCGUACUCCCCGCUCCACCCGCUGAUCCUUCUGCUUUAUUACCACCUGACCGUGGAUCGUCAUCGAAGGAACCGGACUGUAGAUCAUUGCUGGAAGUUCUAGGCUGCGGGCCGCCGCCGGAGGUUCUGGGCUGCGGGCCGCCGCCGGAGGCUCCGGACUGGGGAGCGUCGCCAGAGGCUCCGGACUGGGGAGCGUCGCCGGAGUCUCCGGACUGGGGAGCGUCGCUGGAGGCUCCGGAUGGAAAAGCGUCACCGGAGGCUCCGGACUGGGAGGCGUCAUAAUAGGUUCCAGAAUAAUGACCGUUGCUGCUGGCUCCAUGCUAUGGAUCAUCUCUACAGGUUCCGCGCCAAGGAUCAUCACUGGAGGCUUCUUGCCAUGGAUUAUCUCUACAGGUGCCGGGCCAUGGAUUAUUCCUACAGGCUUCGUGCCAUGGUUUAUCCCUACAGGCUCCGGACCAUUUAUAAUCCCUCCAGGCUUUUUGCCAAGGAUUAUUUCUUCAGGUUCUGGGCCAUGGAUUACCUCUUCAGGCUUCGUGCCAUGGAAUAUCCCUACAGGCACCGGGCCAUGGAUCAUCACUAGAGGCUUGGUGCCAUGGAUCAUCUCUACAGGCGUCGGACCAUCGAUUAUCACUGGAGGCUUUGUACAUGGAGCAGGAACCGGUCUCACUGGACUGGGGAGACGCACUGAGGACCGAGUGCUCAAAGCAGACACCGGCCAUACUGGGUUAUGGAUGCGCACUGGAGGGAGUGUGCGAAGAACAGGCACAGGACGUACUGGAUUCUGGAGGCGCACUGGAGGGAUAGCGCGAGGAGCAGGCACAGGACGUACUGUGCUAUGGAGGCGCACUGGAGAGAGAGUGCGCGAGGCAGACACAUGCUCACCACAAAAAGCAUGGGGAGUUGACUCAGGCCUCUCCCCUGGCCCAGCCAAACUACCCGUGUGCCCCCCCCCCCCAAUUGUUUUGGGGGGGUUGCCUCUCGUUCUUCCCAGGUAGGCUCCGGUAUCUCUUGAUUACCUGGCCCCAGGUCCAAUUUCUCCUCUCCGUCCACUCACUAUGUGACCAGGUGUCCAUAUCAGCCUGGGCACGCCGCUUGAUCCAAUCAUUGUGGGUAGUUCUGUAACGCGGGUCAUAUAAAGGGGACCAAGGCGCAGCGUGUAGAGUGCUCAUUUCUUAACUUUAAUGAAGACACUUAAACAAAACAACAAAACGACAGCCAACAGUUCCAUCAGGUACACUUGACAAAACGGAAAACAACUACCCACAAAACCCAGGAAGACAAACCCCUACUUAAAGAUGAUCUCCAAUCAGAGGCAACGAGGACCAACUGCCUCCAAUUGGAGAUCAACCCAAAAACACCCAACAUAGAAAUAGAAAACCUAGAACCCAAAUAUAGAAAUAGAAAACAUAGAAAAACACAAAACACCCCCUGUCACGCCCUGACCUACUCUACUAUAGAAAAUGACAUCUUACUAGGGUCAGGACGUGACAUCAAGCUAAAUGUAUUCACCACACUGGGUGUUCCUGCUGCAUAGCACGUAUACAGGUCACACAAGCACAUAUAUCUAUAUCUUCUGACUAGGCCCUCCCCCUUCUAUGUCUAGGAUGGACAAUCAGUCCCUGUUGCUAGUUUGUUCUUCCUAUUGAUGUUAUCGUGUCCCAACCUGAGUCCAGAACCUUUGUACUCCUCUGUGCCUUUCAUCGGUCUUAUCAGUCAGGAGAGGCCUUGAGUUAUUGGGAGUACACAUUCCCACAGUCUUCUAAAGUUCACUAGAUAAUUGUACUUCCCAUACACAAAGAGUUUAAACCUAACACUACUUUCAAACUCGAAGAAUAUAUAAAAAUGGUAUAUUCAUACUAAGAGUACAUAAUGAUAUAAACAGUAAAGAUUUAAGACAGUGUUAUAGAAUAGUAAUUACGAUCUAUCAGCUCCAACCCCAGACAUAUGGCUCCUAUUCAACCCUUAUAGAAUCAUUCUUGCACUCAGCCUUUGUACUUUCCCUUUGCCCAAAUGCAAUGCACAUUGCUAAUUCCAACUAAUCCAUAACACGAUAAUUACUACUGCUAGGCUAAUUGUACAAUUAUAAACAGAUGAAAACGGACUCAAGUCAAAUAAUCUAACAUUGCUCUCACCAUUAACAGUGCUUAAAUGUGUAAAUCGGGAGAUACCGGAACAAAAAGUGAGCGUCAGAGGGAGGUGACCUGGGGAGCUCUGAGGUAAUGAAACGCAUGAGAAAAUUUGUUUUGAAACUUUUUAAUAAAGCAUGCAUAUCAUCACAUUUGCAUAGUGGCAUUGGGCAUAAAUCAGUAGAGUAGAGACACUACUACAUAGUACCCUCUAAGCUUAUCAUUAAGCUCGGGGGCCUGGGUCUGAACCCCACCCUGUCCAGGACCCAGGACUUCCUGACGGGCCACCCCCAAGUGGUGAAGGUAGGAAACAACACCUCCACUUCGCUAAUCCUCAACAUAGGGACCCUACAAGGGUACGUGCUCAGCUCCCUCCUGUACUCCCUGUUCACCUAUGACUGCGUGGCCACGCACACGUCCAACUCAUUCAUCAAGUUUGCAGAUGGCACAACAGUAGUAGGCUUGAUGACCAACAAAUGGGG